AACGAACGUUAGCGGCGCACCUAACACAUGCAAGUCGAACGCGAGAGGGGCAACUCUCUUGAGUGGCGCACGGGUGAGUAGCACGCAGGUAAUCUUCCCCCGAGUGGUGGAUAACCCUCCGAAAGGAGGGCUAAUACAGCAUAAGACCACGGCCUCGAAAGAGGCUGAGGGCAAAGCGUGGGAUCGGAAGACUUCUCGCUGGGGGAUGAGCCGGCGGCCCAUCAGGUAGUUGGCGGGGUAACAGCCCACCAAGCCUAAGACGGGUAGCUGGUCUGAGAGGAUGAUCAGCCACACUGGAACUGAGACAUGGUCCAGACUCCUACGGGAGGCAGCAGUGGGGAAUCUUGCGCAAUGGACGAAAGUCUGACGCAGUGACGCCGCGUGGGUGAUGAAGGCCUUCGGGUUGUAAAGCCCUGUGGGGAGGGACGAAUAAGUUCCUGUUAAUACCCGGAGCGAUGACGGUACCUCCUUAGCAAGCACCGGCUAACUCUGUGCCAGCAGCCGCGGUAACAC
rnacentral:rRNA from 1 species